rnacentral:rRNA from 1 species
GGAUUGUUCACCCACCAAUAGGGAACGUGAGCUGGGUUUAGACCGUCGUGAGAGAGGUUAGUUUUACCCUACUCAUGAGAGUGUCGCAAUAGUAAUUCAAUCUAGUACGAGAGGAACCGUUGAUUCGCACAAUUGGUCAUCGCGCUUGGUUGAAAAGCUAGUGGCGCGAAGCUACCGUGCGCUGGAUUAUGACUGAACGCCUGUAAGUCAGAAUCCGGGCUAGAAGCGACGCAUGCGCCUGCUGCCCGCUUGCCGACCCGUAGUAGGGGCCGUCUGGCCCCUAAAGGCACGUGUCGCUGGUGAAGCCCACGCGGCGGAUGAGCCACGCGGGCCACGUUGAAGUACAAUUCCCAUCUCGAGUGGUGGGUAAAAUCCUUUGCAGAUGACUUAAAUACGCAACAGGGUGUUGUAAGUGGCAGAGUGGCCUGGCUGCCACGAUUCGCUGAGAUUCAGCCUUGCGUCGCUCCGAUUCGUCCCUCCC